rnacentral:rRNA from 1 species
UACAGAGACUGCAAGCGUUAUUCGGAUUUACUGGGCGUAAAGGGCGCGUAGGCGGUCAGCACAAGUCAGUUGUGAAAUCUCCGGGCUUAACUCGGAACGGUCAACUGAUACUGCUCGACUAGAGUGCGGAAGGGGCAACUGGAAUUCUUGGUGUAGCGGUGAAAUGCGUAGAUAUCAAGAGGAACACCUGCGGCGAAGGCGGGUUGCUGGGCCGACACUGACGCUGAGUGCGCGAAAGCCAGGGGAGCGAACGGG